rnacentral:rRNA from 1 species
CCUACGGGAGGCAGCAGUGAGGAAUCUUCCACAAUGGACGAAAGUCUGAUGGAGCAAUGCCGCGUGCAGGAUGACGGCCUUCGGGUUGUAAACUGCUUUUAUAUGGGAAGAUUAUGACGGUACCAUAUGAAUAAGGACCGGCUAACUACGUGCCAGCAGCCGCGGUAAUACGUAGGGUCCAAGCGUUAUCCGGAAUCACUGGGCGUAAAGCGUUUGUAGGCGGAAAUCUAAGUGAGAUGCGAAAUCUUGUGGCUCAACCAUAUAGACGGUAUCUCAUACUGGGUUUCUAGAAGAUAGCAGAGGUAAGUGGAAUUAGUAGUGUAGCGGUAAAAUGCGUAGAUAUUACUAGGAACACCAAUGGCGAAGGCAGCUUACUGGGCUAUAUUUGACGCUGAGAAACGAAAGCGUGGGGAGCGAACAGGAUUAGAUACCCUGGUAGUCCACGCCGUAAACGAUGUGUGCUAUUAGUUCGAGGUAUCGACCCCUUGGGCUGAACAGCUAACGCGUUAAGCACACCGCCUGGGGAGUACGAGCGCAAGCUUAAAACUCAAAUGAUUGAGG